GCCUCGAGAAAAAAAUCAUGCAUCGGCUUAGUUGUUUUUAGUGUAGAGGAUCGCAUAAAAUUCAGAAAAAAGUGUCAUAGAAUUUAUUUCAAUUUGGUGAGACAUCGACUCUGGAACAUCGUUCGUGAUUAUUCUAUGGUGAAACCUGAAAUAUACGUUUUCCCGGACCCCGAGAUGAGGCAGGAAUGGGAAGAAGACGAUGGUCGGAUGGUGGAUUGGUGGUUGGACUAGCUGGAGAGAACUUGGGAAAAAAUCCCAAGAUACUACCCCCUAAUUGCCAAACUCGAAGUACCCAUGGACUUGGUGGGGAAGUUCAUGGCGUACCUCGGAGAGCAUUUUUAUGCAAAUAAUGAAUCACGGCUCCAUCAGGUAUUGAAGGAAUUCCUCAAUUUUCUCCGGCUGGUUCGCCGUGAGGAUGAGGCAGUGGAGAUGCUGCCCCAC